rnacentral:rRNA from 1 species
AAGAAACCAACAGGGAUUGCCCCCAGUAGCGGCGAGUGAAGCGGCAAGAGCUCAGAUUUGAAAUCGUGUUUCGGCACGAGUUGUAGAGUGUAGGCGGGAGUCUCUGUGGAGCGCGGUGUCCAAGUCCCUUGGAACAGGGUGCCUGAGAGGGUGAGAGCCCCGUAGGGUGCUGCGCGAAGCUUUUGAGGCCCUGCUGACGAGUCGAGUUGUUUGGGAAUGCAGCUCCAAGCGGGUGGUAAAUUCCAUCUAAGGCUAAAUAUUGGCGAGAGACCGAUAGCGAACAAGUACUGUGAAGGAAAGAUGAAAAGCACUUUGAAAAGAGAGUGAAACAGCACGUGAAAUUGUUGAAAGGGAAGGGUAUUGGGCUCGACAUGGGGGGUGCGCACCGCUGUCUCUUGUAGGCGGCGCUCUGGGCGCCCUCUGGGCCAGCAUCGGUUCCUGCUGCGGGAGAAGGGGCUCCGGAAAGUGGCUCUUCGGAGUGUUAUAGCCGGGGCCAGAUGCCGCGUGUGGGGACCGAGGACUGCGGCUUCUGUCUCGGAUGCUGGCAUAACGGCGCAAUACCGCCCGUCUUGAAACACCGACC